UACGUAGGGCGCAAGCGUUAUCCGGAAUUAUUGGGCGUAAAGAGCUUGUAGGCGGUUUGUCGCGUCUGCCGUGAAAAUCCGGGGCUCAACCCCGGACUUGCGGUGGGUACGGGCAGACUAGAGUGUGGUAGGGGAGACUGGAAUUCCUGGUGUAGCGGUGAAAUGCGCAGAUAUCAGGAGGAACACCGGUGGCGAAGGCGGGUCUCUGGGCCGAUACUGACGCUGAGGAGCGAAAGCGUGGGGAGCGAACAGG
rnacentral:rRNA from 1 species